rnacentral:rRNA from 1 species
UACAGAGGUCUCAAGCGUUGUUCGGAUUCAUUGGGCGUAAAGGGUGCGUAGGCGGCGCGGUAAGUCGGAUGUGAAAUCUCGGAGCUUAACUCCGAAACUGCAUUCGAUACUGCCGUGCUUGAGGACUGGAGAGGAGACUGGAAUUUACGGUGUAGCGGUGAAAUGCGUAGAUAUCGUAAGGAAGACCAGUGGCGAAGGCGGGUCUCGUGGACGAGUUCCUGACGCUGAGGCACGAAGGUCAGGGGAGCAAACGGG